rnacentral:rRNA from 1 species
AAAUUGAAGAGUUUGAUCAUGGCUCAGAUUGAACGCUGGCGGCAGGCCUAACACAUGCAAGUCGAACGGUAACAGGAAACAGCUUGCUGUUUCGCUGACGAGUGGCGGACGGGUGAGUAAUGUCUGGGAAACUGCCUGAUGGAGGGGGAUAACUACUGGAAACGGUAGCUAAUACCGCAUAAUGUCGCAAGACCAAAGAGGGGGACCUUCGGGCCUCUUGCCAUCGGAUGUGCCCAGAUGGGAUUAGCUAGUAGGUGGGGUAACGGCUCACCUAGGCGACGAUCCCUAGCUGGUCUGAGAGGAUGACCAGCCACACUGGAACUGAGACACGGUCCAGACUCCUACGGGAGGCAGCAGUGGGGAAUAUUGCACAAUGGGCGCAAGCCUGAUGCAGCCAUGCCGCGUGUAUGAAGAAGGCCUUCGGGUUGUAAAGUACUUUCAGCGGGGAGGAAGGGAGUAAAGUUAAUACCUUUGCUCAUUGACGUUACCCGCAGAAGAAGCACCGGCUAACUCCGUGCCAGCAGCCGCGGUAAUACGGAGGGUGCAAGCGUUAAUCGGAAUUACUGGGCGUAAAGCGCACGCAGGCGGUUUGUUAAGUCAGAUGUGAAAUCCCCGGGCUCAACCUGGGAACUGCAUCUGAUACUGGCAAGCUUGAGUCUCGUAGAGGGGGUAGAAUUCCAGGUGUAGCGGUGAAAUGCGUAGAGAUCUGGAGGAAUACCGGUGGCGAAGGCGGCCCCCUGGACGAAGACUGACGCUCAGGUGCGAAAGCGUGGGGAGCAAACAGGAUUAGAUACCCUGGUAGUCCACGCCGUAAACGAUGUCGACUUGGAGGUUGUGCCCUUGAGGCGUGGCUUCCGGAGCUAACGCGUUAAGUCGACCGCCUGGGGAGUACGGCCGCAAGGUUAAAACUCAAAUGAAUUGACGGGGGCCCGCACAAGCGGUGGAGCAUGUGGUUUAAUUCGAUGCAACGCGAAGAACCUUACCUGGUCUUGACAUCCACAGAACUUUCCAGAGAUGGAUUGGUGCCUUCGGGAACUGUGAGACAGGUGCUGCAUGGCUGUCGUCAGCUCGUGUUGUGAAAUGUUGGGUUAAGUCCCGCAACGAGCGCAACCCUUAUCCUUUGUUGCCAGCGGUCCGGCCGGGAACUCAAAGGAGACUGCCAGUGAUAAACUGGAGGAAGGUGGGGAUGACGUCAAGUCAUCAUGGCCCUUACGACCAGGGCUACACACGUGCUACAAUGGCGCAUACAAAGAGAAGCGACCUCGCGAGAGCAAGCGGACCUCAUAAAGUGCGUCGUAGUCCGGAUUGGAGUCUGCAACUCGACUCCAUGAAGUCGGAAUCGCUAGUAAUCGUGGAUCAGAAUGCCACGGUGAAUACGUUCCCGGGCCUUGUACACACCGCCCGUCACACCAUGGGAGUGGGUUGCAAAAGAAGUAGGUAGCUUAACCUUCGGGAGGGCGCUUACCACUUUGUGAUUCAUGACUGGGGUGAAGUCGUAACAAGGUAACCGUAGGGGAACCUGCGGUUGGAUCACCUCCUUACCUUAAAGAAGC